ensembl:lncRNA
UAUUGAAAGUAUAGUUUCACCUCAGCACAUUGUUACGUCCCUCUGCAGCCCCUAAUCUGCUCAGUGUGUUCAGCUGGUGCUAAUUGGCCACACCUAGUCAGGUGUGGAUAAAAGCAUACCUGAAGCAAGCUUUCCGGGGAGCUCACUAGUCUUUGCCUUGGUGGCACCAGCAAUUUUAGCCAACCUGAUAGUCCAUUUUAAGAUAAACCUCUUUUCACCUACACUCUGGUAUUCGUCUCCUUUUUUUAUGUUGCGGCUUUUGAGCCGGGUCGUAACAUAAGUGGGGGCUCAUCCAGGAGCUUUGGACAUUUUAGUGGAGACUGGAUGUCAGUUUGUUUUGCUUUUAAGUGGGUGAGUGAUGGUGGUCACUGUAAUUGAGCAAACUCCCUUUUAGUAAGUGUGUUUCAGCUGGGUGGCUGUGCUGCCCUUCCAUCGAAGCACUUGUUUGUUGUUUUGCUUUUUUUUUUUAGUUUAUUGUGUUUGGUGGUUAUCCUGGGUGGGGGUACGCUUCAGGGUUUGGUGAGAGACUGUACCCCGGUCUGCUGCCAAUCCUUGAGUUUGCGUUUAAAGGUCCCUCGAGCCCGGUACACCACUGAAGACUAGACAGGUAAAGUUUUAUUGUUUUUUAGCAUUUUACAAUUAUGUCUGUUUUGUAGCACAUAGAAAUGUUUAGUUAAUAUUUACAGACAGACACAUUUUCCCUGUAACUGUGUUUUUACUCCAACAUUUGUUGAAAAUGUAAUUUAUGAAAUGCUGAGCAGCAUUUCUAGUAUGUGGAAUAUUUUUGUCACCCCACUGUGCUAAUGUGAUUAAAUACUAAUAAUUAUUACUAAACAAAUUCAAUAAUAAAUCAAUAAUAACUAUUUGUUGAUUGAACUAUAAUGUAAGCGCAGUGCUGGUGUGCAGGGGCUUUAUAUGCCUUGUGGGUAGGGUUGCCAACCGUCCCUUAAAAUACGGAAUCGUCCCGUAUUUCGAAACAAAAGUACACGUCCCGUAUUGAGCU